GCGAUCCUUAUGUUUCUUUUUUUGCAGGGGGCGGCCAUGGGGAGGGGAGGCGAAUCGGAGAGGCGACACUGUGCUCCGGCGCCGGAUCAAGCUGCGGGGGAGGCAGGAGCCACACGAGGAGACGAAGGAGGAGAAAAUGAAGAGGCAUGGAGGAGAGGCGGGAGAGCGGGAAGGGCUGGGGCGUCGCCCACGACGCCGAGCUUGACGGCGGCCUUGCGAUGGCGCAGUCGGCGAGGACCUGUCGGAUCUGGCCGGAUCUGGUGGGAAAUUGCACGCAAGCGGUGGAUCUGGAAGGAAGACGGCCGAAGCUUCGAGCACAAUGGCUGGUGGACGCGCCAUGGCCCACGCCGGCGAGAGAAGAGAGAGAUGAGUGGGAGAGAAAAGAGAGGACGGGAAGGAGAUGAGAGGCCAGAGGGAGAGAGAAGGGAGUGGUGGUCACUUCAACGGGCUGCAGCGCGGCGCCGCCCCGGCCGCUGAGGCCGCCCGACCACCCCAUCGCCGAGUCGCCACCCCCACUGACUGCCCCGUGCUCGCCCUUAGACCAAGUCAAGCCAGCGAUCAUUGCCCACAUCACCGAACCUCGCUCCCCUUCUCCACCCCAGCAAGCACGCACGCUUGGAGGCGCCCAGGAGCUCGCCGGCAACACUCAGCAGACAUAGGAGAGCUGCAUGCAUGAUGCGUUUGAAUGUGUGGACGCGAGGCAGUGGAGGGCUCAGCAAGUUAACAAAUUAUAUUGCCUUGUACUACAUUUUAACAAAUUGGCUCCUACGAAGACUAAUGGAAGGAUCAUCAGACCAACAUAGUCAAAUUGGUUGCUUCAAAUUUUUGGUCUUGGAGUUGAUCAGCAGCACGCGGACAUGCAUCAGGAAGCCAACGGACAGCCAGAGCAGGAAGGCGUGGAUCUUGAGCUGCAGCGACAACAACAACUUGGGCGUUGCCUGCAAAAAAAACAACAGUUCAAGUGCUCAAUCAAGUGUAAGUUUGCAUUCAGUCAAUUAUUGCAGUUCUACAAUGACACAUUCAGAUUCUUGCAUCCAAAGUUAGAUAGGAACAGGGAAAGAAUCUCCAACGCUUAUUUACAUGGGAAAGAACACUCUUGUUGUAACUUUGAUUCAGAUCCUCAGUCUAUCUGAAGCACCAUAGAUUGAGUUUGCAAGCAAAAGGAUCACACAAUCUGACAUUACAAGGAGCAGUCUUUUUCUUCACAUCUUUGUUUUAGCUUGCAUCCGACAGUUGUGUGCUCUAAGAUUAUGCAACCAAAACUGAACUUAUGACUACAUGAGUGCAUGAAGAACUGUUAAUAACUCUUAUUUGACUAAUCUUUGGAUUGACGGGAGACGAGAUUCUCUGGCUUUGGGGAUGGUCCUUUGGCGUUCUAUUGGGGUUCUAUUCAUGUGCACUAGGCACUUCUCAACACUUCAAUAAUUAUUCUAGAACCUCUUUAAAUUUGCAAUGCUCAUCAGAUUGUACAGGUUUUGCAGUCAACUAUUCAGAUUAUUGACUAGGGACGAUAUUUUCAGUCCUACCGAGUCUGCAAAGGAUGCGCCAAGCCAAGAUUAAUUAUGGUUUUUGUAAAUUGCAUCGGUUUACUUAUGUACCUGCUCCUUAGAUGAUUGUGAAUUUGUGAUUCAGCCGUGGAAAUUUGGGUGCUUUCUUCGAGUGUCCUGAAAAAUGGUUCAACGCGUGUUUGCCAGAAACUGUAGAUUAGCAAGACUAACGAGUGUUGAGCAUGUCAAUCUAUGUGUGGGCAUGAGUGAAAAUGUAAAUCAUGUUAGAGACGAGUUUCUGGAAAAAGUCCUGGAGACGUGCUGCUGCUGCUGCUGCUGCUCUUGAUAGCCAAAGUGGAGGCUGCAGUUCUAAGACUUCAAGGAGGAAAGGAAUACAUGGUUGCUUCUUGAAAAGGUGAGUUGUUUCCCUGCAGAAAAAUAAAUCUCUUAGAGUUGUUUAACUGAACCUGUUCCACUGUCAUUGUUGUGUUCAGAUAAAUAUUGUUAUUGGUCACUCAAUGCCUAAGCUGUUGUGGAUUAAUUUGAUUUGAAUUGGAUUGUAUUCCAAGAGUCCACAAGAUGUCAUUUCCGAAUGUGGUACUAAUUUCAGAACAUAGCACCAUUUUCUAAAAAUAAGGCUGGGCAACAUGAGCCAACCACAUGGAUGUUUCAAGAGGAAUAAACUCACUGUAGCUGCCGAAUUGGUAUUAGUAAGUUGCUGUUCCAACUUCCUAGAGAACCACAGGGGUGUUUAUUUUUACUAUUAUUAGUUGCAGCACAUGGCGACAAUGACGAGCACUUGUAUUUUUAAGUGCUGCACCUCUUUUUUGUUGAUCUUUGAUUCAUGUAUAUAUGUAAAUUCUAUGAAAAUGUAUCAUAGCAAAUGUGAAUACAUAACUCUAUGGUUGAUGUAUCUAUUGAUAUUGAUGUGUCUAUUAAUAUUAAGUUCUUUUUUCA